rnacentral:rRNA from 1 species
UACGGAGGGGGCUAGCGUUGUUCGGAAUUACUGGGCGUAAAGCGCGCGUAGGCGGAUCUGCAAGUCGGGGGUGAAAUCCCGAGGCUCAACCUCGGAACUGCCUUCGAUACUGCGGGUCUCGAGUCCGGGAGAGGUGAGUGGAAUUCCUAGUGUAGAGGUGAAAUUCGUAGAUAUUAGGAAGAACACCAGUGGCGAAGGCGGCUCACUGGCCCGGUACUGACGCUGAGGCGCGAAAAGCGUGGGGAGCAAACAGG